rnacentral:rRNA from 1 species
AUUGAACGCUGGCGGUAUGCUUAAGACAUGCAAGUCGAACGGUAACAGACCUUCGGGUGCUGACGAGUGGCGGACGGGUGAGUAACACGUGGGAAUCUACCUUGUAGUGGGGGAUAAGCCAGGGAAACUUGGACUAAUACCGCAUACGCCCCCAGGGGGAAAGGCGCAAGUCGCUAUAAGAUGAGCCCGCGUCUGAUUAGCUAGUUGGUGAGGUAAAGGCUCACCAAGGCGACGAUCAGUAGCUGGUCUGAGAGGAUGGCCAGCCACAUUGGGACUGAGACACGGCCCAGCCUCCUACGGGAGGCAGCAGCCGGGAAGAUUGGACAAUGGGGGCAACCCUAAUCCAGCAAUACCGCGUGUGUGAAUAAGGCCUGCGGGUUGUAAAGCACUUUUAGUAGGGAAGAUAAUGACGUUACCUACAGAAAAAGCACCGGCUAACACCGUGCCAGCCGCCGCAGUAAGAC